rnacentral:lncRNA from 1 species
UUUGGGGGUUUUUUUUUUUUUUUUUUUUGUUUGUUUGUUUUUCAGAUAGUUUCUGAACACUGAAAGAGCAAGUCUUAGAAAGAACUAGGGCUCAGCUGAGACACACAAAGGGUGGUUACAGCUUCAGGGUCUUCCCAACCUCCCCGACAGUCAGCCGGUUCACCUGAGGAAGCCCUGAAAGAAUGCUGAUGGGGAAUGAAGCAUCUUCCCAGCCCACAGGGAGGAUGCAGUAGAAUAAGCCAUGAACCAAAGUGUCAACUACUGAAUCAGGUCAGCGAAAGCUCUUGGGAUUCUUAGACUCAGAGACAAAGGUGCACACAAGUCAAGGUGAAAAUGUCACCUUUCACGCUCUUCAGCCACUGGAAGCUGAGUCUUCCCUCAGAUGCUGCCUGAGGCCCCAGCUCCUAGGCCUGGGACAGCUGCUGGGAUCACAACCUGAGGACCUGUGGUGUCAGACGGUCAUCAAGCGCAGGUGUGACAUAGAAGAGAGUUCUCCUAGAGGCAGCUCAGGAGGGACAGUGGCCCUCUACCAAGGACCUUGCACAACGGCGUGCCAGGAAUCUCACUAGACUGCAUGCUUCCUAAAUCAAAGUUUGUUUGUUCUGGGCCAGGUUUGGUCUGCAAACUUUUUUUUUAAUGUGAACACAAAAAAAAAAAAAGG